rnacentral:rRNA from 1 species
GAAUUUUCUGGGUCGCCCCACCUUUUCUCUUGCCGUUUAUAUAUUUCAGUCUUGUAUACACGCUGACUCAGGAUAAGGCAAUACGGGAUGGCUGAAGAGGAGUAUCAGCGGGGAGGCGGCCAGAACGAUGAUUCCAUCUGCAAAGGCUGACCCAACAUGGACUUGAUGCGUGACUAUGGUUAGCGGCUGCGGCGAGAGCGGCAAUCCGGCACCUACGCAUGUGUGGUGAAGACAUGCUCCAACGGCAAUAUCCGCCAUAAUUUCAUGCAAAUCUCGUUGGCAUUGGCACAUAUGUGGCAUGCUCUUGAGUCCGUAAAUUCAUCUAUGAAGUGUAUAAUAGUACAAUUUGUAACCAAAUUUGUAACCAUCACGUGUGACAUGUAUAUGUACAUUAUUUUCCGUAUGCCCUCCAAACCACAUUUUGUAGAUACUCCAUACUGCUUCUGUAUGAUAUAUACUCCAU